rnacentral:piRNA from 1 species
UGAAGGUGUUUCUGGAAAACGUGAUUC